UGCCAGCCGCCGCGGUAAUACGUAGGUGGCAAGCGUUGUCCGGAAUUAUUGGGCGUAAAGCGCGCGCAGGUGGUUUAAUAAGUCUGAUGUGAAAGCCCACGGCUCAACCGUGGAGGGUCAUUGGAAACUGUUAAACUUGAGUGCAGGAGAGAAAAGUGGAAUUCCUAGUGUAGCGGUGAAAUGCGUAGAGAUUAGGAGGAACACCAGUGGCGAAGGCGGCUUUUUGGCCUGUAACUGACACUGAGGCGCGAAAGCGUGGGGAGCAAACAGGAUUAGAUA
rnacentral:rRNA from 1 species